GGGUGCGAGCGUUGUCCGGAAUCACUGGGCGUAAAGGGCGCGUAGGCGGCGCGGGAAGUCCGUGGUGAAAGCCCGAGGCUCAACUUCGGGUCGGCCAUGGAUACUCCUGGGCUUGAGCACUGUAGAGGCAGGUGGAAUUCCGGGUGUAGCGGUGGAAUGCGUAGAGAUCCGGAAGAACACCGGUGGCGAAGGCGGCCUGCUGGGCAGUAGCUGACGCUGAGGCGCGACAGCGUGGGGAGCAAACAGG
rnacentral:rRNA from 1 species